GAUGAAGAACGUAGCGAAAUGCGAUAAGUAAUGUGAAUUGCAGAAUUCAGUGAAUCAUCGAAUAUUUGAACGCACAUUGCGCCCGCUAGUAUUCUGGCGGGCAUGCCUGUCCGAGCGUCAUUUCAACCCUCAAGCCCCCGGGCUUGGUGUUGGGGAUCGGCGAGCCUCCGCGCCCGCCGUCCCCUAAAUCUAGUGGCGGUCUCGCUGUAGCUUCCUCUGCGUAGUAGCACACCUCGCACUGGGAAACAGCGCGGCCACGCCGUUAAACCCCCAACUUCUGAACGUUUGACCUCGGAUCAGGUAGGAAUACCCGCUGAACUUAAGCAUAUCAAUAAGCGGAGGA
rnacentral:misc_RNA from 1 species